rnacentral:misc_RNA from 1 species
GCCGCGCCACCUCUAGUUCUUGCACUCCCUUGAAAUGACAAUUUUGGAUUACAAAUUUCAGCAAUUAGCAAUACAUGCCAUUGACAGUUUUAUGCAUAUUUAAUGCUAUACAUAUUGUGCUCGCUAAAGAAUGCCUCCACCUAGAGAACAUGAAUCUGAAAUAGGAAAGGCAAUAUAUACAAACAAUUCUUCUUUCACUGCUAGGCUAAGAUGUACUAAUAUGCUUCAAAUACUAAGAACGUCAAAGAUGUGGCCUUCACAAAUCUAAGAUUGUCCAACCAACCUUUCCUGAAUGAUUUCCCCAAGUUUGGUGUACAAAGCAUGCUGCUCCUCAAAAGUAAGGUUCGUCAAAAUCUGAUCUAAGAUGAUUUCAACUGAGAUGCUUUGAGGCACAACGAAUGAUUGAUGAUAGAUGUAUGCAAACACAGCCAUCACCAUCUGGCAAUCCAUUCUAUCUGUAAUUCCCCCAUGGCCAGGAAUACUGUCACCA